UACGUAGGGUGCAAGCGUUAAUCGGAAUUACUGGGCGUAAAGCGUGCGCAGGCGGUGAUGUAAGACAGUUGUGAAAUCCCCGGGCUCAACCUGGGAACUGCAUCUGUGACUGCAUCGCUAGAGUACGGCAGAGGGGGAUGGAAUUCCGCGUGUAGCAGUGAAAUGCGUAGAUAUGCGGAGGAACACCGAUGGCGAAGGCAAUCCCCUGGACCUGUACUGACGCUCAUGCACGAAAGCGUGGGGAGCAAACAGG
rnacentral:rRNA from 1 species